UCAGGAUGAACGCUAGCUACAGGCUAACACAUGCAAGUCGAGGGGCAGCAUUGGAGUAGCAAUACUUCAGAUGGCGACCGGCGCACGGGUGAGUAACACGUAUCCAACCUGCCGCUUACUCGGGGAUAGCCUUUCGAAAGAAAGAUUAAUACCCGAUGGUAUAAAGAGUUCGCAUGUUCUCUUUAUUAAAGAAUUUCGGUAAGCGAUGGGGAUGCGUUCCAUUAGAUAGUUGGCGGGUAACGGCCCACCAAGUCUACGAUGGAUAGGGGUUCUGAGAGGAAGGUCCCCCACAUUGGAACUGGGACACGGUCCAAACUCCUACGGGAGGCAGCAGUGAGGAAUAUUGGUCAAUGGACGAGAGUCUGAACCAGCCAAAGUAGCGUGAAGGAUGACUGCCCUAUGGGUUGUAAACUUCUUUUAUAAGGGAAUAAAGUGAGGGACGUGUCCCUUUUUGUAUGUACCUUAUGAAUAAGGAUCGGCUAACUCCGUGCCAGCCGCCGC
rnacentral:rRNA from 1 species